rnacentral:siRNA from 1 species
CCCAUAAUAGAAAGACGUGUUGC